ensembl:snRNA U6 U6 spliceosomal RNA
GUGCUUGCUUGGGCAGCACAUAUACUCAAAUUGGAACUAUUAGAGAAGAUUAGCAUGGCCCCUGAGCAAGGAUGACAUGCAAAGUUGUGAAAUGGUCCAUUAAAAA